rnacentral:rRNA from 1 species
ACAUGCCUACAACAUAGCGUUAAUGCACUGGAUCCCAUUAGAACUCUGCAGUUAAGCACGCUCAGGCUAGAGUAGUGCUAGGAUGGGUGACCGCCCAGGAAGUUCUAGUGUUUUACAUGCC